rnacentral:rRNA from 1 species
UACAGAGGGUGCAAGCGUUAAUCGGAAUUACUGGGCGUAAAGCGUGCGCAGGCGGUUUUGUAAGCCAGAUGUGAAAUCCCCCGGGCUUAACCUGGGAAUGGCAUUUGGGACUGCAAGGCUUGAGUGCGGCAGAGGAGACUGGAAUUCCUGGUGUAGCGGUGAAAUGCGCAGAUAUCAGGAGGAACACCGAUGGCGAAGGCAGGUCUCUGGGACCUGUACUGGACGCUGAGGAGCGAAAAGCGUGGGGAGCGAACAGGA